rnacentral:rRNA from 1 species
CCUACGGGCGGCAGCAGUGGGGAAUAUUGCGCAAUGGGCGAAAGCCUGACGCAGCGACGCCGCGUGAGGGAUGAAGGUCUUCGGAUCGUAAACCUCUGUCAGCAGGGAAGAACGGUCACUGUGCUAAUCAGCAGUGAAUUGACGGGACCAGCAAAGGAAGCACCGGCUAACUCCAGGCCAGCAGCCGCGGUAAUACGGAGGGUGCGAGCGUUAAUCGGAAUUACUGGGCGGAAAGCGCUCGUAGGCGGUAUGUCAAGUCACGGGUGAAAUCCCCGGUCCAAACGUGGGGAGUGCCUUUGAAGCUGGCAGACUGGAGUGUGUGAGAGGUAAGUGGAAUUCCAGGUGUAGGAGUGAAAUGCGUAGAUAUCUGGAGGAACAUCAGUGGCGAAGGCAACUAUCUGGCACCUAUCUGACGCUGAGGAGCGAAAGCGUGGGUAGCGAACAGGAUUAGAUACCCCUGUAGUC